rnacentral:tRNA from 1 species
UUAGUUUUAACCUUAGGUACUUUCUUUGAAUGGAAGGAGGGGGCUCUGGAGUGGAAGUAGUUAAACUAUA